UAGUAAUUCUAGAGCUAAUACGUGCAACAAACCCCGACUUUUGGGAGGGGCGCAUUGUUUAGAUAAAAGGCUGACGUGGGCUCUGCUCGCUGAUCCGAUGAUUCAUGAUAACUCGACGGAUCGCAUGGCCUUUGUGCCGGCGACGCAUCAUUCAAAUUUCUGCCCUAUCAACUUUCGAUGGUAGGAUACGGGCCUACCAUGGUGGUGACG
rnacentral:ncRNA from 1 species